GAGUUGAUCCUGGCUCAGGAUGAACGCUAGCUACAGGCUUAACACAUGCAAGUCGAGGGCAUCAGUUGGUUGCUUGCAAACCAAGCUGGCGACCGGCGCACGGGUGAGUAACACGUAUCCAACCUGCCUCAUACUCGGGGAUAGCCUUUCGAAAGAAGAUUAAUAUCCGAUAGCAUAUAUUUCCCGCAUGGGUUUAUAUUAAGAAUUCGGUAUGAGAUGGGGAUGCGUUCCAUUAGUUGUUGGCGGGUAACGCCCACCAAGACUACGAUGGAUAGGGGUUCUGAGAGAGGUCCCCCCACAUUGGAACUGAGACACGGUCCAAACUCCUACGGGAGCAGC
rnacentral:rRNA from 1 species